ACGGGACAAUGCUGUUGUAACAAAAAAGAGUUCAGAGCUCUCAAACUCUUGAGUUUACAGUGGGGGAAACCUUAAAUAGGAAUUACCUAGUAUUCUAGAUGAGUGUGGCACUAUUGAAAGGGAAACUCACUAGAAAGAUCCUUCCGGUUCAAUAGUUGCAAUGCACCUGAGUGACUGGAAGGGCUGGAGCCAGGAUCUACCCCUUUCCAGGACUCAUUUAAGGGAUGGCAGUGGAUGCAAAGGUAUCUUUCUGGAGAUCCCUGCAUAUGUGAGGCCUUCUGAAGGGAAAGUUCAAGCCCACGUUUCCAAUCACAGUAUAGCUCCUAACCACUAGAUUGCAAGCUACAGAUCUCAAGACCAGCCAAAGACCGUUUAAUCUAGCAGCGAAGAUUUUAAUUGCUUCCAACCAAGAAGGGAGCUGCACUCCAGGCUUCUCCAUCUGUACAAAUGCUCAAAUCAGUUGGCUGCUCCACAAACACUGGACACAACCUCUGGCCUUUCCCAAAACAAACCCCGAACCUUGGUCAGUCCAUUGAGGGAUACUCAGAGGUCUCUCCUUCUGACCAUGGGCUUGAGAUGGAGUCACUACAGCUGCAGGCUGGAGCAUGCACAGAUUUGGACUUGUUGCUCCCUAUAGUUCCUUUACAACUUGGGAUACUCCAUGAUUCAACCUGGUCAGGGUGGGAAAGCCUUCACUGAGCUCACCACUUGCUACCACCAAGCUCCUGUCCUUGGGGAUUUCACUCACCAUCCCAAAGGUAUUUCACGCAAAAUAAGUAGCCC
rnacentral:lncRNA from 1 species